rnacentral:rRNA from 1 species
AUUGAACGCUGGCGGCAUGCUUUACACAUGCAAGUCGGACGAGUGGCGAACGGGUGAGUAAUAUAUUGGAACGUGCCGAGUAAUGGGGGAUAACCAAUCGAAAGAGUGGCUAAUACCGCAUAUUAUUCGAGCGGCCAAUAUCUGAUUAGCUAGUUGGUGGGGUAAAGGCCUACCAAGGCGACGAUCAGUAGCGGGUCUGAGAGGAUGAUCCGGCCCACUGGGACUGAGACCACGCCCCGAACCCUACGGGGGGCCGCCGUGGGGGAUCUUUCGCAAUGGACGAAAGUCUGGCGGAGCAACGCCGCGUGGUAUGUUACGGCCUUCCGGUUGUAAAGGUCUUUUAAUCGGGACGCGGUACCUGAAUAGUAAGCCCCGGCUAACUACGUGCCAGCAGCCGCGGUAAUAC